AGGUCAUCAAUAUCACGUAGACCUCUUAAACUGGCUCUAAGUGCCUGAAUAUCUUGAGCACUUAUUCGACCAGCGUGUUUGGCACCACUUGAUGCGGUGCUCAAAUGUAUCAAAAUCCUUGUCCAAUAUUUGUGCCUGUAAGUAGACCGUCUGUGCCAUUUUGUACCAAUCUGCCAUACAGUCAGCUAACUGAGUAACUACAGGCUGAACAUCCGUCUCAAGUAAAGUUCGAGCUCUACGGCUGGUCUCUGUUAUCUAGAAAAUAUUUUUUUAAUUAUACUAGGUAUUGAUUUAAAAAUUUUAAUUAUGUUGUAAUAACCACAUUUCAAUUUUAAAAUUAAAAUUGCGGAAUACUGUAAGAAUUCAAGAUAUUUUACAUUAAAUUUGGUAUUAAAACAUUUAAUGUAAAAUAUAAAUAAUUGUGUACACUUCA